rnacentral:rRNA from 1 species
UUAAGCGACUAAGCGUACACGGUGGAUGCCCUGGCAGUCAGAGGCGAUGAAGGACGUGCUAAUCUGCGAAAAGCGUCGGUAAGGUGAUAUGAACCGUUAUAACCGGCGAUGUCCGAAUGGGGAAACCCAGUGUGAUUCGUCACACUAUCGUUAACUGAAUACAUAGGUUAACGAGGCGAACCGGGGGAACUGAAACAUCUAAGUACCCCGAGGAAAAGAAAUCAACCGAGAUUCCCCCAGUAGCGGCGAGCGAACGGGGAGCAGCCCAGAGUCUGAAUCAGCUUGUGUGUUAGUGGAACGGUCUGGAAAGUCCGACGGUACAGGGUGAUAGUCCCGUACACCAAAAUGCACAGGUUGUGAACUCGAAGAGUAGGGCGGGACACGUGGUAUCCUGUCUGAAUAUGGGGGGACCAUCCUCCAAGGCUAAAUACUCCUGACUGACCGAUAGUGAACCAGUACCGUGAGGGAAAGGCGAAAAGAACCCCGGCGAGGGGAGUGAAAAAGAACCUGAAACCGUGUACGUACAAGCAGUGGGAGCACCUUCGGGUGUGACUGCGUACCUUUUGUAUAAUGGGUCAGCGACUUAUAUUCUGUAGCAAGGUUAACCGUAUAGGGGAGCCGCAGGGAAACCGAGUCUUAACUGGGCGUUAAGUUGCAGGGUAUAGACCCGAAACCCGGUGAUCUAGCCAUGGGCAGGUUGAAGGUUGGGUAACACUAACUGGAGGACCGAACCGACUAAUGUUGAAAAAUUAGCGGAUGACUUGUGGCUGGGGGUGAAAGGCCAAUCAAACCGGGAGAUAGCUGGUUCUCCCCGAAAGCUAUUUAGGUAGCGCCUCGUGAACUCAUCUUCGGGGGUAGAGCACUGUUUCGGCUAGGGGGUCAUCCCGACUUACCAACCCGAUGCAAACUACGAAUACCGAAGAAUGUUAUCACGGGAGACACACGGCGGGUGCUAACGUCCGUCGUGAAGAGGGAAACAACCCAGACCGCCAGCUAAGGUCCCAAAGUCAUGGUUAAGUGGGAAACGAUGUGGGAAGGCACAGACAGCCAGGAUGUUGGCUUAGAAGCAGCCAUCAUUUAAAGAAAGCGUAAUAGCUCACUGGUCGAGUCGGCCUGCGCGGAAGAUGUAACGGGGCUAAACCAUGCACCGAAGCUGCGGCAGCGACACUAUGUGUUGUUGGGUAGGGGAGCGUUCUGUAAGCCUGCGAAGGUGUGCUGUGAGGCAUGCUGGAGGUAUCAGAAGUGCGAAUGCUGACAUAAGUAACGAUAAAGCGGGUGAAAAGCCCGCUCGCCGGAAGACCAAGGGUUCCUGUCCAACGUUAAUCGGGGCAGGGUGAGUCGACCCCUAAGGCGAGGCCGAAAGGCGUAGUCGAUGGGAAACAGGUUAAUAUUCCUGUACUUGGUGUUACUGCGAAGGGGGGACGGAGAAGGCUAUGUUAGCCGGGCGACGGUUGUCCCGGUUUAAGCAUGUAGGCUGAUUGUCCAGGCAAAUCCGGAUAAUCAAGGCUGAGGUGUGAUGACGAGGCACUACGGUGCUGAAGUAACAAAUGCCCUGCUUCCAGGAAAAGCCUCUAAGCAUCAGGUAACAUUAAAUCGUACCCCAAACCGACACAGGUGGUCAGGUAGAGAAUACCAAGGCGCUUGAGAGAACUCGGGUGAAGGAACUAGGCAAAAUGGUGCCGUAACUUCGGGAGAAGGCACGCUGGUGUGUAGGUGAAGUCCCUGCGGAUGGAGCUGAGACCAGUCGAAGAUACCAGCUGGCUGCAACUGUUUAUUAAAAACACAGCACUGUGCAAACACGAAAGUGGACGUAUACGGUGUGACGCCUGCCCGGUGCCGGAAGGUUAAUUGAUGGGGUUAUCCGUAAGGAGAAGCUCUUGAUCGAAGCCCCGGUAAACGGCGGCCGUAACUAUAACGGUCCUAAGGUAGCGAAAUUCCUUGUCGGGUAAGUUCCGACCUGCACGAAUGGCGUAAUGAUGGCCAGGCUGUCUCCACCCGAGACUCAGUGAAAUUGAACUCGCUGUGAAGAUGCAGUGUACCCGCGGCAAGACGGAAAGACCCCGUGAACCUUUACUAUAGCUUGACACUGAACAUUGAGCCUUGAKGUGUAGGAUAGGUGGGAGGCUUUGAAGCGUGGACGCCAGUCUGCGUGGAGCCAACCUUGAAAUACCACCCUUUAAUGUUUGAUGUUCUAACGUUGGCCCCUGACCGGGGUUGCGGACAGUGUCUGGUGGGUAGUUUGACUGGGGCGGUCUCCUCCCAAAGCGUAACGGAGGAGCACGAAGGUUAGCUAAUCCUGGUCGGACAUCAGGAGGUUAGUGCAAUGGCAUAAGCUAGCUUGACUGCGAGCGUGACGGCGCGAGCAGGUGCGAAAGCAGGUCAUAGUGAUCCGGUGGUUCUGAAUGGAAGGGCCAUCGCUCAACGGAUAAAAGGUACUCCGGGGAUAACAGGCUGAUACCGCCCAAGAGUUCAUAUCGACGGCGGUGUUUGGCACCUCGAUGUCGGCUCAUCACAUCCUGGGGCUGAAGUAGGUCCCAAGGGUAUGGCUGUUCGCCAUUUAAAGUGGUACGCGAGCUGGGUUUAGAACGUCGUGAGACAGUUCGGUCCCUAUCUGCCGUGGGCGCUGGAGAAUUGAGGGGGGCUGCUCCUAGUACGAGAGGACCGGAGUGGACGCAUCACUGGUGUUCGGGUUGUCAUGCCAAUGGCACUGCCCGGUAGCUAAAUGCGGAAGAGAUAAGUGCUGAAAGCAUCUAAGCACGAAACUUGCCCCGAGAUGAGUUCUCCCUGAGACUAUAAGUCUCCUGAAGGAACGUUAAAGACGAUGACGUUGAUAGGCCGGGUGUGUAAGCGCAGCGAUGCGUUGAGCUAACCGGUACUAAUGAACCGUGAGGCUUAACCUU